rnacentral:rRNA from 1 species
GGGCGUAAAGAGCUUGUAGGUGGCUUGUCGCGUCUGCCGUGAAAACCCGAGGCUCAACCUCGGGCGUGCGGUGGGUACGGGCAGGCUAGAGUGUGGUAGGGGAGACUGGAACUCCUGGUGUAGCGGUGAAAUGCGCAGAUAUCAGGAAGAACACCGAUGGCGAAGGCAGGUCUCUGGGCCAUUACUGACACUGAGAAGCGAAAGCAUGGGUAGCGAACAGGAUUAGAUACCCUGGUAGUCCAUGCCGUAAACGUUGGGCACUAGGUGUGGGGGACAUUCCACGUUUUCCGCGCCGUAGCUAACGCAUUAAGUGCCCCGCCUGGGGAGUACGGCCGCAAGGCUAAAACUCAAAGGAAUUGACGGGGGCCCGCACAAGCGGCGGAGCAUGCUGAUUAAUUCGAUGCAACGCGAAGAACCUUACCAAGGCUUGACAUGCACCGGACGGUCGCAGAGAUGUGGCUUUCUUCGGACUGGUGCACAGGUGGUGCAUGGUUGUCGUCAGCUCGUGUCGUGAGAUGUUGGGUUAAGUCCCGCAACGAGCGCAACCCUUAUAAUUAGUUGCCAGCAUUCAGAUGGGGACUCUAAUUAGACUGCCGGUGAUAAACCGGAGGAAGGUGGGGAUGACGUCAAAUCAUCAUGCCCCUUAUGACCUGGGCUACACACGUGCUACAAUGGAUGAUACAACGAGCAGCAAACUCGCGAGGGUAAGCGAAUCUCUGAAAGUCAUUCUCAGUUCGGAUUGUUCUCUGCAACUCGAGAACAUGAAGCCGGAAUCGCUAGUA